CAGCACUUUUGACAGCAAUGUCAGAUGGUGGCGACCGGCAAACGGGUGCGGAACACGUACGCAACCUUCCCAAAACAGGUGAAUAGCCCUCCGAAAGGAGGAUUAAUACACCGUAAGAUAUAGAUGUGGCAUCACAAUUAUAUUAUAGACCGCGAGGUUGGUUUUGGAUGGGCGUGCGCCUGAUUAGGUAGUCGGUGCGGGUAACGGCCCACCAAGCCUUCGAUCAGUAACUGGUGUGAGAGCACGACCAGUCACACGGGCACUGAGACACGGGCCCGACUCCUACGGGAGGCAGCAGUAAGGAAUAUUGGUCAAUGGACGCAAGUCUGAACCAGCCAUGCCGCGUGAAGGAUGAAGGCCCUCUGGGUUGUAAACUUCUUUUAUCUGGGACGAAAAAAGGGAAAUCUUUCUCACUUGACGGUACCAGAGGAAUAAGCACCGGCUAACUCCGUGCCAGCAGCCGCGGUAAUACGGAGGGUGCAAGCGUUAUCCGGAUUUACUGGGUUUAAAGGGUGCGUAGGUGGGUAAGUAAGUCAGUGGUGAAAUCUCCGGGCUUAACCCGGAAACUGCCAUUGAUACUAUUUAUCUUGAAUACUUUGGAGGUAAGCGGAAUAUGUCAUGUAGCGGUGAAAUGCUUAGAUAUGACAUAGAACACCAAUUGCGAAGGCAGCUUACUACACAGUGAUUGACACUGAGGCACGAAAGCGUGGGGAUCAAACAGGAUUAGAUACCCUGGUAGUCCACGCCCUAAACGAUGGAUACUCGACAUUAGCGAUACACAGAUGUGUCUGAGCGAAAGCAUUAAGUAU
rnacentral:rRNA from 1 species